GAUGAACGCUGGCGGCGUGCUUAACACAUGCAAGUCGAACGGAAAGGCUCCUGCUUUCAGGGGUACUCGAGUGGCGAACGGGUGAGUAACACGUGGGUGAUCUGCCCUGCACUUCGGGAUAAGCCUGGGAAACUGGGGCUAAUACCGGAUAGGACGAUGUUUUGGAUGGCAGUGUUGGAAGUUUUUUCGGUGUGGGAUGAGCUCGCGGCCUAUCAGCUUGUUGGUGGGGUAAUGGCCUACCAAGGCGUCGACGGGUAGCCGGCCUGAGAGGGUGUACGGCCACAUUGGGACUGAGAUACGGCCCAGACUCCUACGGGAGGCAGCAGUGGGGAAUAUUGCACAAUGGGCGCAAGCCUGAUGCAGCGACGCCGCGUGGGGGAUGACGGCCUUCGGGUUGUAAACUCCUUUCGCUAGGGACGAAGCGCAAGUGACGGUAACUGGAGAAGAAGCACCGGCUAACUACGUG
rnacentral:rRNA from 1 species